UACGUAGGGUGCAAGCGUUUGUCCGGAAUUAUUGGGCGUAAAGAGCUCGUAGGCGGUUUGUCGCGUCUGCUGUGAAAACCCGAGGCUCAACCUCGGGCCGCAGUGGGUACGGGCAGACUAGAGUGCGGUAGGGGGAGAUUGGAAUUCCUGGUGUAGCGGUGGAAUGCGCAGAUAUCAGGAGGAACACCAAUGGCGAAGGCAGAUCUCUGGGCCGUAACUGACGCUGAGGAGCGAAAGCAUGGGGAGCGAACAGG
rnacentral:rRNA from 1 species